ACCUUUCUUAGACCGAGUAAAUAUAGAGCAUAAUUUUUAGACUGCAAGCUUUUUCAAAUUCUCAUCCGCAGCUUUUAAUUAAAAAAAGAAGGGAGUAAAAAUAAGUGAGAGAUUGUGAUUUUAAGAAGCGAUUGGAUUGAUGCAUGUGGCCGAACUGAUUGACUUGUUCAGACAAAAUUUCUUCAACUAAAGAAAUGCUUAAUAUUCCUAAAGAGAUU
rnacentral:lncRNA from 1 species